GCUUCAAGAUUGGCUGCCCCAAGACAGAUGGAAGCUGGAAUGUCCUGGCAGAGUCGUGGCGGCAAAGUAUGAUUCCACCAGGGGGCAUUUUCUAGAAGAUGUGACGAGAAAGCACACAGUAUUGCUUACUGGAAAUGCCAGUAAGCAAUUCGCCUCUUUCAUUUAGGAUGCAUUUACAAACACUGAAGAACUCCAAGAUUCAGAGCAAGUGAUUUUAGCACUAGAUGAUUCACUCACAGAGGUAUUUAUUUGCUUCUGAAAACAUUUUCCAUCUAGAACAUACAGUGAUCACACCAGACCCGUGGUGACGGAAAUAGUUCACCAAUUUGGAUCUGACCUGAUGGAUUCCUCCAAAGUUCAAUCUUUUAAAUAUCAAUAAAUACAUGUAUUCAGUCUAGAAAUUAACAUCCUUAAAAUGAUUGCUAUUUCCUUAUUUACGCAGACCCUACCUUAAGUGUUACCCUGGUGCUUCCAUUCAAAUAGGUCCAGGUCUUCAGUUCUCUUAGUAUUAGUGAUUUUCAUUCUUCCUGUAGUUCAGAUACAACUCAUUCUCUUCCCUACUUCACGUCCCAUUAGAGCAUUCAAUAACUCAUUUUAGUUUUAGCGAUCGAUCGUACUUUCUUUGUUUGCAUCCUGUUCAGAAGAGACAUGUGGGAGGAGAGAGGGAGCCCCAACCACCUGCCGGAUGCAGAUUCCUGGCUGUGGCUGGCCCCACUGCUGCCUGCAUCUGACUACGGGAGGGUCUGUGCUGCUUUUUGUGCAGCUGGGCGUUCACAGAGGGGCUGUGAGAGCUGGACGACACCGUGCUCUGGAAAGUGGCUUGUGAAAAUUCCAUGGAAGAGAACGGUGAGGUACUCUGAGGCCUUCCAUGUCAAUUCCAGGACUGCUUCUAGGGCCUCAUCAUCCAGUUGCAUCAUGCUCCUUCUGAGGACUCCAGUUUGGCAUGUUUCCUAUCACACAGUGCCCUCCACACCCAGCUGCCCUGGGACCUCUGACCUCCUCACCUCUCCUCACUUCCCCUGUGCAUCUCCGGUGUCCGUGCCCUGCUGUGUCAGAUCUCCAUUUGCUAACCAUGUACCAGGUAUUUUCACCGGGGUAAGCUGUGGCCCUUUUAGAUAUUUCAAAGUUAACUCAACCACCCUCCAAAACAAGCUUUAUUAAAAAAAAUCCCUAUGUAAAUGUUUGAGCUCUUCUACAGUCAUCUUAGACUAUCCUACGAGUCCUUCACACUGAAAAGCAAGUGCUGGUUCAGCACGUCCUUCUGGUAACCUCAGCAUCGGUACUGUUGGCUCGGCUGCAGCCCCAGCGGCUGACUUCAAUAGCACAGUGUCUGACUUAGUUCAUUAACAUUCCCGGUGGACCUCUGGUCUCACCCUCUGCAAACUCCUUGGCACUCUGCUGCCACUUGCAUCAUCUGAUUAUACUGUCCUAGCGCAGGAAACUGUCAGUGACCUUCUCACGCUGGAUGGAUGCGCUCCUCUCUCUUCAUCACGCGCAAGUCUGCGUCGUUGGUGACACCAUCUCUGCUCCUGAACUGUCCCUUCCAGCUCUCAUCUUUCUGCACUUACCUCGUCCUCAAUGAGAUCCCUUCCCUGCAGCAGGCUUCCUAGUCAAGUCAGACUUCACUGAACUUUCUCUCCUUCAAAUAUUUUUUCAGAGGUCCUAUAAAAAAACUUUCCCAGUUUCUUUUACUCAAAUGUUCACAUACCUAUAUAUAAAUAUCAAUAUGACAACAUACGGUUGUCAACACUGAAGAAAAGUAACCUUUAAUUUGGUGGGCAUACAUCAUGCUUUUCAAAGAAUAACUAAAUAAUAUAAACAACUAAAACUUACAUCCAAACAUGACCCUGAAACUCAGCAUCUAAAGUUAAAUAGAAAUGUAUUUACCACUUUGAUUCCACAUCAUGAAAUUUUGCUUGGUAUUAUAUUUAAUUCCUUUUCUGUUAAAAGCAAUAAUGAAAUCACUUCAGUCCUUUACACUUCUUUGAAUAUAAAUGUCCCUAAACUGCCACAAAUGCUUAGCAAGAAUCUGAUACUUCUUUCUUGGGAUUAUUCAAAACCUAGACUAGACAGAGCAGAAAUUGUCUGACUGAUGGUCCACUUUCUUCCUGAAAUAAAGAGUGAUUUUUCUAGUCA
rnacentral:lncRNA from 12 species